AUUGAACGCUGGCGGCAGGCCUAACACAUGCAAGUCGAGCGAGCGGCGGACGGGUGAGUAAUGCGGGGGAAUUGCCAAGUCGGGGGGGAUAACAGUUGGAAAGGACUGCUAAUACCGCAAACGAUGAGAUCGCCAAGGUGGGAUUAGCUAUUGGGUGAGGUAAGGUCUCACCAAGGCGACGAUCCCUAGCUGGUCUGAGAGGAUGAUCAGCCACACUGGAACUGAGACACGGUCCAGACUCCUACGGGAGGCAGCAGUGGGGAAUAUUGCACAAUGGGGGAAACCCUGAUGCAGCCAUGCCGCGUGUAUGAAGAAGGCCUUCGGGUUGUAAAGCACUUUCAGCGAGGAGGCGUUACUCGCAGAAGAAGCACCGGCUAACUCCGUGCCAGCAGCCGCGGUAAUAC
rnacentral:rRNA from 1 species